AACCACAAUAAACACUCUAGCCUCUGCACCUGGGUCAUUUUUGAUAUGGUGCUUUGGCCGUGACAACGUUUAACGUUUGCCACCAGGGCGCAGGAAGAAAUGACUCCGCCUCCCGUAUUUGGAAAGGUGUACAUGGCUUCACAAC
ncrna:Salmonella enterica subsp. enterica serovar Typhi str. Ty2 Moco (molybdenum cofactor) riboswitch